rnacentral:rRNA from 1 species
AUUGAACGCUGGCGGCAUGCCUUACACAUGCAGUCGAACGGCAGCACGGGUGCUUGCACCUGGUGGCGAGUGGCGAACGGGUGAGUAAUAUAUCGGAACGUACCCUAUUGUGGGGGAUAACGCAGCGAAAGCUGUGCUAAUACCGCAUAAUCCCUAAGGGGGAAAGCGGGGGACCGUAAGGCCUCGCGCAAUUAGAGCGGCCGAUACCUGAUUAGCUAGUUGGUGAGGUAAAGGCUCACUAAGGCAACGAUCAGUAGCUGGUCUGAGAGGACGAUCAGCCACACUGGGACUGAGAAACGGCCCAGACUCCUACAGGAGGCAGCAGUGGGGAAUUUUGGACAAUGGGGGCAACCCUGAUCCAGCAAUGCCGCGUGAGGGAAGAAGGCCUUCGGGUUGUAAAGCUCUUUUGUCGGGGAAGAAACAGCAGCUCUAACACAGUUUGCGAAUGACGGUACCUGAAGAAUAAGCACCGGCUAACUACGUGCCAGCAGCCGCCGUAA